rnacentral:rRNA from 1 species
UUGAACGCUGGCGGCAUGCCUUACACAUGCAAGUCGAACGGCAGCACGGGUGCUUGCACCUGGUGGCGAGUGGCGAACGGGUGAGUAAUACAUCGGAACGUACCUUAUCGUGGGGGAUAACGCAGCGAAAGCUGUGCUAAUACCGCAUACGAUCUAUGGAUGAAAGCGGGGGACCGUAAGGCCUCGCGCGAUUGGAGCGGCCGAUGUCAGAUUAGCUAGUUGGUGGGGUAAAGGCCCACCAAGGCGACGAUCUGUAGCUGGUCUGAGAGGACGACCAGCCACACUGGAACUGAGACACGGUCCAGACUCCUACGGGAGGCAGCAGUGGGGAAUUUUGGACAAUGGGCGCAAGCCUGAUCCAGCAAUGCCGCGUGCAGGAAGAAGGCCUUCGGGUUGUAAACUGCUUUUGUACGGAACGAAACGGUCUGGGCUAAUACCCUAGGCUAAUGACGGUACCGUAAGAAUAAGCACCGGCUAACUACGUG